rnacentral:rRNA from 1 species
GAGCUAAAACCAGAUAGGCAUUUUCCACGCAUGAGGGAGAUGAGAAAGGCGGAGCAAUCUGCCGCUUAUGGAUGGACCUGCGUCGCAUUAGCUAGUUGGAGUGGUAAAGGCACACCAAGGCGACGAUGCGUAGCCGACCUGAGAGGUGAGCGGCCACACUGGGACUGAGACACGGCCCAGACUCCUACGGGAGGCAGCAGUAGGGAAUCUUCCGCAAUGGACGAAAGUCUGACGGAGCAACGCCGCGUGAGUGAAGAAGGUUUUCGGAUCGUAAAGCUCUGUUGCCAGGGAAGAAGAGCAAGGAGAGGAACUGCUCCUUGAGUGACGGUACCUGAGAAGAAAGCCCCGGCUAACUACGUG